UACGGAGGAUGCAAGCGUUAUCCGGAAUUAUUGGGCGUAAAGCGUCCGCAGGUGGUUAUCCAAGUCUGCUGUUAAAGCGCGAGGCUUAACUUCGUACAGGCAGUGGAAACUGGGUGACUGGAGUAUGGUAGGGGUAGCGAGAAUUCCCAGUGUAGCGGUGAAAUGCGUAGAUAUUGGGAAGAACACCAGCGGCGAAAGCGCGCUACUGGGCCAUUACUGACACUCAUGGACGAAAGCUAGGGGAGCGAAAGGG
rnacentral:rRNA from 1 species